rnacentral:rRNA from 1 species
UACGUAGGGGGCUAGCGUUGUUCGGAAUUACUGGGCGUAAAGCGCACGUAGGCGGGUCGUUAAGUCAGUGGUGAAAUCCCGGAACUCAACUCCGGAACUGCCUUUGAUACUGGCGAUCUAGAGAUCGAGAGAGGUGAGUGGGAAAUUCCCGAGUGUAGAGGUGAAAUUCGUAGAUAUUCGGAAGAACACCAGUGGCGAAGGCGGCUCACUGGCUCGAUACUGACGCUGAGGUGCGAAAGCGUGGGGAGCAAACAGG